GUUGGUUUAAAGAUCUCACACUUGAGCCGGGUCGUUUACAUGCUUAACACAUGCAAGUCGAGCGAGCGGAAGGGGGCAACUCCUUCCAGUCGAGCGGCGGACGGGUGAGUAACACGUGGGUAACCUGCCCGGAAGUGGGGAAUACCUCGGGGAAACUCGAGCUAAUACCAGCAUUGANCAUCGCAUGUGGACGUGAAUGUCCUGGCGAUCAAAAGCAGGGUGUCGCAAAGAUCUCGCGCUACCGNGAUGGAGCCCGCGCCCUGAUUAGCUACGUUGGUAGAGGUAACAGNGCUCACCAAGGCUUCGAUCAGGUAACCGGCCUGAAGAAGGGCGAUCGAGUCACACCGGAACUGAGACACGGUCCGGACUCCUACGAGGAGGCAAGCAGUGGGAGAAUCUUGCGCAAUGGGCGAAAGCCUAGACGCAGCAACAGCCGCGUAGGAGGAUGAAGGCCCUUGGGUUGUAAACUCCUGUCGGCUAGGGAAUGAAAUCGUUCGCGAGCUAAUACCCGCGGACGUUAGACUGUACCAGCAAAAGGAAGCCCCGGCUAACUCUAGUAGCCAGCAAGGCGCGGUAAUACCAGANGGGAGGCCANAG
rnacentral:rRNA from 1 species